AUCCAUAGAUGUCACAUCAUCAGAAUCAUAAUAGUGAGAAGAUAGGAAAUCUUUAAGCUUUCCAGAUCGACCAGUAGUAUCACCAGCACCAAGACUAUUCUUGGCUGCAACUAGACUAGCCUGCUUUAGCAAAAGAAUUGAUAUAUUCUCCGCAUUAGGAAUUUCCAUCAUUCAAUUGUAAAUGUAGAAAUAGAUUUCACUAGUAUAAACUCAACUUCCAAUAGAAAAAAUAAAAUACCAUCAGCCACAUAAAAAACAUCCAUCAUUCCAUAGAAAUGUUGUUUAAUAACCAAAGAAGAUUUGUUGAUGUGGCUGAUGAAAGGGACAUAGUGUUCAGUAGAAAUACAGUUUCAUAAAUGAAGAAGAUUUUCUGAUGUGAAUGAUAAAAGGGCAAAGUGAUCACCUUGACAACCCUAUUGCUAUUGUUACUGGCAAAGGACCACUUGAGAACCUCUUGGAUCACCUUGACAACUCUGUUGCUAAUAAUGCAUGGGUUUAUGCAACUAAGUUUAUUCCUGGAUCUUAAUUUUUAACAUAAUGUAUGAGUACCUAACAUUACCAACCUCAUCAAAAAAUCAUAAAAG
rnacentral:lncRNA from 1 species